ACGCACAAUGAAAGUGAAGGCCUGGAUUGCCAGGCCAAGGGGCGAUCUUGCCCUCCAAGGGGGGCAGGCGCAGCCCCGGGACGCGCCGUUCGCAUUGCCGUCGGCUCGUACCCAGAGCGUACACGUUGGGACCCGAAAGAUGGUGAACUAUGCCUGGCCAGGACGAAGUCAGAGGAAACUCUGAUGGAGGUCCGUAGCGAUUUUGACGUGCAAAUCAAUCGUCCGAGCUGGGUAUAGGGGCGAAAGACUAAUCGAACCAUCUAGUAGCUGGAUCCAUCCGAAGUUUCCCUCAGGAUAGCUGGCGCUCGCANGACCGAGUUUCAUCCGGUAAAGCGAAUGAUUAGAGGCCUUGGGGCCGAAACGANCUCAACCUAUUCUCAAACUUUAAAUGGGUGAGAAGUCGGGCUUGCUCGACUGAAGCACCGACCNUNGAAUCNAGAGUGCCAAGUGGGCCACUUUUGGUAAGCAGAACUGGCGCUGUGGGAUGAACCAAACGCAGAGUUAAGGUGCCCGAGAGAACGCUCAUCAGAUCCCAUGAAAGGUGUUGGUUGCUAUAGACAGCAGGACGGUGGCCAUGGAAGUCGGAA
rnacentral:rRNA from 1 species